ACCAGGAUGGCCGAGUGGUUAAGGUGUUGGACUUAAGAUCCAGUGGACAUAUGGUCCACGUGGGUUCGAACCCCACUCCUGGUA